GAAAGAGACAGAGUGCAAGCAGGGGAGGGGCAGAGAGAGAGAGGGAGAGAGAGAAUCCCAAGCAGGUUCCAUGCCAUCAGCGUGGAGACUGACAUAGGGCUCAUCUCAGGAACUUGUGAGAUCAUGACUGGAGCUGAAAUCAAGACUCAGGUGCCCAGCUGACUGAGCUACCCAGGCGCCCCCUCCCACACUU